rnacentral:rRNA from 1 species
GAUGAACGCUGGCGGCGUGCCUAAUACAUGCAAGUCGAGCGAACGGACGAGAAGCUUGCUUCUCUGAUGUUAGCGGCGGACGGGUGAGUAACACGUGGAUAACCUACCUAUAAGACUGGGAUAACUUCGGGAAACCGGAGCUAAUACCGGAUAAUAUUUUGAACCGCAUGGUUCAAAAGUGAAAGACGGUCUUGCUGUCACUUAUAGAUGGAUCCGCGCUGCAUUAGCUAGUUGGUAAGGUAACGGCUUACCAAGGCAACGAUGCAUAGCCGACCUGAGAGGGUGAUCGGCCACACUGGAACUGAGACACGGUCCAGAAUCCUACGGGAGGCAGCAGUAGGGAAUCUUCCGCAACGGGCGAAAGCCUGACGGAGCAACGCCGCGUGAGUGAUGAAGGUCUUCGGAUCGUAAAACUCUGUUAUUAGGGAAGAACAUAUGUGUAAGUAACUGUGCACAUCUUGACGGUACCUAAUCAGAAAGCCACGGCUAACUACGUG